CUACGUACAGUCAUACACUAAAAGAAAAUCAUAGCCUCAUUCAUUCAUUCUCAUUUCUUUUCCCUCAUCCAUCAAUCGGCCAACUGACCGAGCAUAUAGGUGAAAGGCCUGAACAAGCUCCGGAAGCAUUCGUCGGCCGGUGUCGCUUCCCCUGCAGGGAUGAGUUCGUCAAAUAAUUGGAAGGGAAAAAACUGCAUCGGAAAUAACUUAGGUUAUGGAAGCAAGUAUGUUUCUGAUGAGAACAAGAAUAAGAAGAAUUAUGGAAAUGAAAAUAAUGCAUCAAAGGGCUCGUCUUCCUCCUCAAAGGGAAGCACCAAGAACCAGAUAGGGGACCUCAUAAGCUAUGGGAGUAAGAGGCCACCUCCACCCAAAGAGUAAACAAUGCUUGUUGUCUUUGCAUCACCCCAUUUUCUGGAGUUUUGAUGUUGUGUGAGGGUUGUGUGCUGUUUCUGUUUCCUUUUAAUAUGCUUUAAGUAGUUUUGCCACUAUUAAUUAAAGCCGUGUUUUUCAUUUCAUGGUUUUACUUGGACUUUAGGCUUCAUAUUGAAGCAUUGUUUGAGGAUGUUGUGUUGUUUCUGGUGGUGUUCUUCUCUGCUUUGUAAUGUGCUUUCAACAAGUUUCAUCUUAAUCAAGUAUUCAUGUGUUGUCCAA